CCUACGGGAGACAGCAGUGGGGAAUAUUGGGCAAUGGGCGCAAGCCUGACCCAGCAACGCCGCGUGACGGAAGAAGGCUUUCGGGUUGUAAACUUCUUUUCUCAGGGACGAAGCAAGUGACGGUACCUGAGGAAUAAGCCACGGCUAACUACGUGCAAGCAGCCGCGGUAAUACGUAGGUGGCAAGCGUUAUCCGGAUUUACUGGGUGUAAAGGGCGUGUAGGCGGGAAAGCAAGUCAGAUGUGAAAACCAUGGGCUCAACCUGUGGCCUUCAUUUGAAACUGUUUUUCUUGAGUACUGUAGAGGCAGACGGAAUGCCUAGUGUAGCGGUGACAUGCGUAGAUAUUAGGAGGAACACCAGUUGCGAAGGCGGUCUGCUGGACAGCAACUGACGCUGAGGCGCGAAAGCGUGGAGAGCAAACAGGAUUAGAUACCCCGGUAGUC
rnacentral:rRNA from 1 species